rnacentral:lncRNA from 1 species
GCGGGGGAAGGAAAAGCUCUCCUCUUGGGCCGAUUUCGCGGCCAUGCUCUUCUCCUUCAACGUUCGCCGCGUGAAUCGACUCCAGUUCUGGGCUUUCUGGGAGCCUGGUCGGUGAGUUGGGACACACGGUAGAGAACCUUAUAAAGGAUUGAUAGUCUGGUUGGAUUAUGCAUUGUGUGUUCUGUGGAUUCAUUCUCUGGCCUUCGUUUAACAUAUAUAUUUUUUUCGAUCGAUCGAUCGAUCGAUCGAUCGAGCUUCUUUUCCUCAACAGAUCAAAUCAACUUGACGAUCAAAAUUGACCAUUGUGAUGUCAAUAUUCUCCGGCCUUUAGUUGCAUGAUUUUUUUCGAUCAAUCGAGCUUUUCUUUUGGUCUUCCAA